AUUGAACGCUGGCGGCAUGCCUUACACAUGCAAGUCGAACGGUAACAGGUUAAGCUGACGAGUGGCGACCGGGUGAGUAAUGUAUCGGAACGUGCCCAGUCGUGGGGGAUAACUGCUCGAAAGAGCAGCUAAUACCGCAUACGACCUGAGGGUGAAAGCGGGGGAUCGCAAGACCUCGCGCGAUUGGAGCGGCCGAUAUCAGAUUAGGUAGUUGGUGAGGUAAAGGCUCACCAAGCCGACGAUCUGUAGCUGGUCUGAGAGGACGACCAGCCACACUGGGACUGAGACACGGCCCAGACUCCUACGGGAGGCAGCAGUGGGAAUUUUGGACAAUGGGCGCAAGCCUGAUCCAGCCAUGCCGCGUGCGGGAAGAAGGCCUUCGGGUUGUAAACCGCUUUUGUCAGGGAAGAAAAGGUUCUGGCUAAUACCUGGGACUCAUGACGGUACCUGAAGAAUAAGCACCGGCUAACUACGUG
rnacentral:rRNA from 1 species